rnacentral:tRNA from 1 species
GGCGGGAUAGCUCAGUAGGUAGAGCACGUGAUUGAAGCUCACGGUGUCCUCGGUUCGAAUCCGAGUCCCGCCA